GUUGCCUUGUGUCGAGCGGCCGCGGUACGUCGGAUGGGGCUUGGGUUGGUCGGAAUCACGGGGCGUAAAGCGCAGGUAGGCUGUCUGUGAAGUAAGGGGUGAAAUCCUUGAGCUGAACUCCAGAACUGCCUUUGAUACUGAGAGACUUGAGUCCGGGAGAGGUGAGGGGAACUGCGAGUGUAGAGGUGAAAUUCGUAGAUAUUCGCAAGAACACCAGUGGCGAAGGCGGCUCACUGGCCCGGUACUGACGCUGAGGUGCGAAAGCGUGGGGAGCAAACAGGAUUAGAUACCCCAGUAGUC
rnacentral:rRNA from 1 species